AUACGUAGGGGGCAAGCGUUGUCCGGAAUUACUGGGCGUAAAGAGCUCGUAGGUGGUUUGUCGCGUCGUCUGUGAAAUUCCGGGGCUUAACUCCGGGCGUGCAGGCGAUACGGGCAUAACUUGAGUACUGUAGGGGAGACUGGAAUUCCUGGUGUAGCGGUGAACUGCGCAGAGAUCAGGAGGAACACCGGUGGCGAAGGCGGGUCUCUGGGCAGUAACUGACGCUGAGGAGCGAAAGCAUGGGUAGCGAACAGGAUUAGAUACCCUGGUAGUCCAUGCCGUAAACGGUGGGCGCUAGGUGUAGGGGUCUUCCACGACUUCUGUGCCGUAGCUAACGCAUUAAGCGCCCCGCCUGGGGAGUACGGCCGCAAGGCUAAAACUCAAAGGAAUUGACGGGG
rnacentral:rRNA from 1 species